GGACUCCAUGUAUUCCAUGAUCGCUCUCGUCUUCAUUAUCGUCGCCUGCGUCCAGCUCUGUGACGCAGCCACCGUCGUCGACGUCUAUCGUCUCAUUCAGUAUGAUAUCUCCGGCGUCCCCUUUGGGUCUCGCCUCGCCACCCUCAAUCAUCACGCCGGUUCCUUGCAUUUCACUCCCGGUGCCGAUCUUUCGCGUACUGUC
rnacentral:misc_RNA from 1 species